GAUGAAGAACGUAGUGAAAUGCGAUAAGUAAUGUGAAUUGCAGAAUUCAGUGAAUCAUCGAAUCUUUGAACGCACAUUGCGCCCCCCAGUAUUCUGGCGGGCAUGUCUGUUCGAGCGUCAUUUCAACCAUCAAGCCCUGCUUGUGUUGGGGUCCUGCGGCUGCCCGCAGGCCCUGAAAACCAGUGGCGGGCUCGCUAGUCACACCGAGCGCAGUAGCACAUCUCGCUCAGGGCGUGCGGCGGGCUCCAGCCGUUAAAGCACCCACCUUUCGCAAGGUUGACCUCGGAUCAGGUAGGAAUACCCGCUGAACUUAAGCAUAUCAAUAAGCGGAGGA
rnacentral:misc_RNA from 1 species